UACGUAGGGGGCAAGCGUUGUCCGGAUUUAUUGGGCGUAAAGAGCGUGUAGGCGGCCAGGUAGGUCCGUUGUGAAAACUGGAGGCUUAACCUCCAGCUGUCGAUGGAAGCCAUCUGGCUAGAGUCCGGAAGAGGAGAGUGGAAUUCCUGGUGUAGCGGUGAAAUGCGCAGAUAUCAGGAAGAACACCCGUGGCGAAGGCGGCUCUCUGGGACGGUACUGACGCUGAGACGCGAAAGCGUGGGGAGCGAACAGG
rnacentral:rRNA from 1 species